rnacentral:rRNA from 1 species
AAUAGAUACCCGGGUAGUCCAUGCCGUAAACGUUGGGCGCUAGAUGUGGGGACCAUUCCACGGUUUCCGUGUCGCAGCUAACGCAUUAAGCGCCCCGCCUGGGGAGUACGGCCGCAAGGCUAAAACUCAAAGGAAUUGACGGGGGCCCGCACAAGCGGCGGAGCAUGCGGAUUAAUUCGAUGCAACGCGAAGAACCUUACCAAGGCUUGACAUAUACGAGAACGCUCUAGAAAUAGAGAACUCUUUGGACACUCGUAUACAGGUGGUGCAUGGUUGUCGUCAGCUCGUGUCGUGAGAUGUUGGGUUAAGUCCCGCAACGAGCGCAACCCUCGUUCUAUGUUGCCAGCGGUUCGGCCGGGAACUCAUAGGAGACUGCCGGGGUCAACUCGGAGGAAGGUGGGGAUGACGUCAAAUCAUCAUGCCCCUUAUGUCUUGGGCUUCACGCAUGCUACAAUGGCCGGUACAAAGGGCUGCAAUCCGUAAGGUGGAGCGAAUUCCAAAAAGCCGGUCUCAGUUCGGAUUGAGGU